GGCUCCCAUCGACACCGGCGGGCCGGGUCAGAGCUGCUCCACAUUUCCUGGAUCCACUUCCAGUGAAGACGACCAAGUCAAACAGCCACACCCAGGGCCACCUCCACUCUGGUCAACAGGUGUCACACAACGAUAAUGAUGACCUUCAACCAAACUGAAGAUACAAACCUGGAAAGCAAACACGCGCAGACACAUAACUCUCACAAAAGGCGCCGAACAAACAGCCAAAUGUGAAAAUGGAGCAGCAGACAGGAAAGCAAGUCUACCAAGCCCCAGAGACGCCCUGGACCCUUCUAUGGUCUCCGAAGCCCGUUCUUAGCUCGCCUGCUCCCCUCACACACCCCACGUCUCGGAGUGCUUUUUCACAUUGGCACGUUGCUGGAGUACAGAGGUCAAGUUUUAGGGGGCUUCCAGCAGCUACAGGACCAGUUUCUCCUAGAGUCCACACCCAGCUCUCUGCACACAGCCAUGAACACACUGACACCUCGC